rnacentral:sRNA from 1 species
UUACGAUAGUGUCCCGUUUGUUUACAUU